rnacentral:tRNA from 5 species
GGGGCUGUAGCUCAGAUGGAUAGAGCAGCAGUUUCCUAAACUGCUUGUCGGCGGUUCGAAUCCGCCCAGCCCCACCA